rnacentral:lncRNA from 1 species
GAGAGAUUAAGGUGAAAUUUGUGUGUUAAGGAGUAAUCGUUUGGGUAUUUUUUAAGGAGAAAAGAUUAACUAAAUUGUUUGAGUAUUGUAUAGUGUUUGCGCAAGACUUUUGAAAAAAAAAAAAUUUUGAUAAAGAAUUUUUUUUUUUUUUAGAUUGUCGGAGAGUGUUGUGGAUUUUUGAUAAAGAAUAUAUAUAUAUAUACAUAUGUAUAUAUAUAUAUAAGUGUUCUAAAUAGGAUUUUAACUAUAUAUAUAUAUAUAUAUAUAUAUAUAUAUAUUGUUUGCUACAAAUAUAUAUAUAGUUAAAAUCAUUUGAAACACUUGCUACAAAUAAUAUCAACAUUUUUAGCAUACGAUAUAAAUGUUAUAAUUGGUGUCUAUUAUGUUCGCGACAACUAUCUUAGCUAGAUGUUAACUAUAUUUUAACGUUUUUUGUGUAUGUUAUAAAAAUUUCUUCUACAAUUGAGAAUUUGUUAUUAGCUAAUAGUUAUAGUGAAAUGCUAUCAAUAAAGAUAUAUUUUGUAGUUUUUGUGUAAUGUUUUAUGAACAUUUUUUGAUAUUUAAUUAAUAAAACGUUUAUUCAUAUAUCUAUAUAUAUAUAUAUAUAUAUAUUCUUUUGUCAUCUAAGUAGUUUAUCUAAUUCAUUUCCUUUAGAUAUUUUCUCAAUUAAAUUAUCCAUCCUCUUAGGCCAAAUUUUUAAAGAAAUUAAUUUUACCAAGCUAGGAUAUCUGAUAGCCGGAUUUUGAGAAUGGAUCAUGGAUCGGUCACUUAUCGAUAUUAUUAAGAUAUAUUAAAAUCCAUUAGAGUAUUGAGAUGUAAUACAGUUCUAUCCUAUAAAGAAAUCUUAUUAUGUAUAAAUAUUACUCUUAUGUUAAUGAAUAACCAAGUUUUUCUAAAUUAUAUCACAUAUAUAUAUUAUGUAUAGUUCCGAGACCAAUGACUUCGGAACACGUUACAAAACACACAUGGUACGUCGAUAAGUUAGUGUGAUGAUAGUAGUGGUUAGUGGUUACUGCUUAGGUAAACGAGAAUGUCCCAACGUACACUUCACGUUAUAUAUAAGGUCGCGCACUAGCCACUCUUCGCAUAUGAGGUGUUUUGGGAUGAUAUUGACAAUUCGUUGGUGCUUCUGAUUUGAUAUAUUUAACCCAACGAUAUAUAUUGUCAUGGCUAAAAAAUUUAGUUGAAGACUUUGAAGUGUUAUCCAAAUAGCUAGUUCAACAAACUAUAUAUUUUUAUUUGCUAUUAAAACCUUGUCAUCCAAUCAUUUAUUGGCAGUGACUAUACCAAGUACCAACUACACGAUGGUUUAUAUAUAUAUGAGUAUUGAAUUAGGAGCUAAAUGAUCAUACAUUGUUGUCUUAUUAUUAGUCAAGUUCUUAUAUAUUUUAACCGAGUUGUUUUUGUCUUUACUAAUUUAGAAAUAUUCGUAUAUUUUAAGAUUCUCAUCACUUUAGGUGUAGUUUUAAUGGUUAGAUAAUAUAAUAAAGUUUAAGAAUUAUUAAAAAGAAUAAGACUGGUGGCCUUUGUUGAUAUUUCCAAACUAAUGAUAAGGGCAGACAAAUGUCUAUUACAUAUCAAGUUGUUUUUUACUAAGUUGUUGUUAUCCACUUUUGUAAAAUAUGAAAUGUAUAUAUCAAAGAUUUUGUGGUGUCUUUUAUUUAUAUAUUAAAAAAUAAUUUCAUAUUAUUUAUUUUUCAUAUGGAUCGUUAUUUUAUACAAUAAUGAUAUUUUUUUAAAAUUUGUUUUUAUUUAUUUAUUUUCUAUCAUAUAAGCUAUAUGAAAACAAACUUAUAUAGCUAGAUAAGAAACGGGUCUUCAUCAUCAAAUAACUUGUAAGUUAUAACAAAAAUUAAUCUCUAGUUACUAAAAUCUAUAGGCUACUUAUAUACUGUAUAUAUAUGUGAUAGAAAAGUCUAAUUUCUUUAUUUAUUUUAUUUAAAAUAUAAUGAGUCAUCUAUGCGAGUUUGCUUUUCAUAAAAUUGAAAUCGAUAUUUUCUUAAAUUUGAAGUAAAGAAAUUGUUAUUGUGACAGAAAGAAAUAAAGAGAAAAGGAGAUUUCAUAUUAUCUAGAGAGUUGUAUAAUAAAACUUUACAUAAACUUAUGAAUUAUGUGAAAAGAAAUAUAAAAAAAAAAAAAACAGAAGACAAAGUAAGCAUGGCCAUGCAUGGGUCCGAUAUAUAUAUAGCAACGUACUUACUGAAAACGAAGAAUCCCACUAAAAAGAGAAGUGAAGGGUUAAGAGAUGGUCCACGUUUCCUUUACUAAGAGAUAGUCCUCUUCGGAUCGCACCACACGAGCCCCACCUUUAAACCAACCCGACCCGAUUCGACCCGACCAAAACUUGCCUACUUUGGCUGCUCUCGAUAAUACUAACAACGAAGCUGUCCAAUUCAGUUAGGGUUUUGGUUAUGAUGACGGACCCUAGUUAUAAACACUAGAGAUGGUCCAGUUCCGACAAAUAGCAUUGGGUGAUGUUUUUUGCUGACAAUUACCGAACAAUAAUAAUCAAAACUGCUUUUGUUUUCUACAUAAGUUCUAUACAUAUAAGAUGAAAUGAAGAAAGCUUCUUAUUUUUUCUCUAAAUAUUGAAGUGUUUUUCUAGAGAAACCUUACAUGUAUUUUUGUUUUAUUUUAGAGAGCAUCUUAUAAUAGAAAUGGUCUUAGCUACAUCUCAUUGAUACUAUUUAUAGAAUUGUUUAGCUACAUAAGAUUAAUGAGUACUAUUAUCAUCUGAUAAUCUAAUAAAAAAAGUCGUUGGGUAAUUUGGUAGAAGUAAUAUAUUUUACUCCUGAAUUUGAAGUGUAUUAAGUUCUCUAUGUUUUUCUAUAGAGAAACCUUACAUGUAUAUUUGUUUGAUUUUAGAUCUAAUAGAAAUUGUCUUAGCUACAUAUAUAUCACUAAUACUAUUUAUAGAAUUGUCUAGCUAUAUAUUAUUAAUUAGUACUAUUUUUUCGUCUAUUAAUUAGUACUAUUAUCAUCGAAUAAUCUAAUGUAAAAUUAUCGCUGAAUAAAUUUGGUAGAAGUAUAUAUUUACAUUUCCACACUUAAAUACACAAAUUCAUAUAAAGAUGUUUGAAAUAUAAAUAUAUGAACUGAAAUAAUAUAUAAAUCACAAUAAUAAUAAUAAUAAAAAAUGAAAGUUUUUUUUUCUGAAAUGAUUGUGGUUUUCACUAGAAAAGAUGGCGAACUAGGCUUCAUAAAAUUUAAACAAGCUCUUUUACGUAGUCUCAUUUGCAAAGAUCAAAGACUCACGGGGACAUAUAUACUAUUAAAGCUGAAGUACCCAAAAUAUUGACCUUAUAAGAAUAACCAUCUUGCAUCCAUAUACUACAUAUGCAUAAUAUUUUGGUCCCUUACGCUAAGUACAACACAAUUAGUCAUGCUCUUUAUUUCAUAAUAGUAAAGAGUUCUAAAGUUUAAGACUUUAAAUCAUAUACUAACCAAACCUUUAUGAAAAAUACAAAAAAAACAAUCAAAAGUUAGAACUCUUUAUGUUUAUUUCAUUAAUGCAUUUAAUGUAAUAAUUUUACUAGAACAUCAACUAUAUAUAUAUAUAAUUAUAUCAUAAUAAUUAUUAGAAAAACUAAGAUAAAACAAAGAAAAUAAGUAGAAAAUAGUAGAAAAAAUAUAAGGAAAAUGUAUGAAAAAUAUAAGCAACUACGGCUCUGUUUUUUUUUAUGUGUGAGAUCCUCACCAGCUACUGAUUAUAAUCUGUCUUAUUUUUGUAACUAUGAGUACUUUCUAAAGAGUAUAAUUAUAAAUUCUGUAGAUUUCCAAUUAAUUAACUCGGAGAAAAAGAUGAAGAGUCCUACCAUUUUCAUGUCUCGAGUUUCUUUUCUCUAAGUUCAACAAUAGUGAUGUUGAUUAUAAAGAAAGGUAGUGACAGUCCGGAUCAAUGGUUCAUAACUUCAUAUUAUGUCUAAAGGAGUGUAUAAUCAAAAGAUAAAACCCCUAGUUGCCAAGUAUUCUAACUAAACGUAUAAUCUCAGUAAGAUAUUUAUAAUCAACCGAACAUAACUUCUUUGUUGUUAUUGUUGUUGUAGUUGCUGUGUAUUAAGGUGGUAGAGAUCGUGGAACACUUGCUAAAAUUAAACGAGUUAAAGCUUGAGGCCAAGGCCACCAAGUCCAGUAGUGUUCAUAUGUUGUAGGCAUGUCUUUAACCUUAUCGUCCCAUAACCUAUGAUCCUAGACAUGAUCACAUGACUCAUGUAGUCAUGUACUUGAAAUAACAGACACUUGAGCUUUUUCUUUUCAUUAAUAACCAUAUAUUUUGUACGAGCGUUAGAUAAUUUUACAGGUCGUCGUAGAGCUAAACACUCCAGAGUUUGAGUAAGCACCGUUCGACUUUGUCAUAUGGCGGACAACGAGGACCGCUGCAUAGUAUUGGUAUUUGGUAGGUUACUAUAUAUAUUUCAACACAUACUAAUUCAAUUCGGAUGAAGUGAAUACGAUAUGUUUGUCUCAUACUUCGACCAAUUUCUUCAUUGCUCUCUUUUAUGCUUUAUUAUAUAUUUAUUACUCAUAAUCUACUUAUGGUUAAUUAAUUAACAUAGUUUCGUACUACUCAAUACAAUUCCAAAAUUUCUAUAAUUUUUUUUAUAAUAAAUGUUUAAUAUUAAUUAAAACUAAAAAUAUAAUAGUUUUUUACAAUGAUUACAAAUUAAAUAUAAGAUAGUUUAUAAUAUUAUAUAAUUCAUAAUUCAUAUUUAUAUACUAUUACCAAAGAUACAAUUUUUACGUCCACCAUUACUGGCCGAAGUAAUUUCGAAAGUGUGCGAUUUCAUUUCCAAAAAAAUUCUAAUUCUUUUUCGGACAAACUAAAAAUUGUAAUACUAUUAAACAUAAAUUGAGAAGCAAUAGGAAAAGAAAAUUGUUAUUUAAAAAAAAAUUAAAGAGCUAUUGAAAUAAAUUCUGGUGAUUAUUUUUUUUUUGUUUCUGCUAAAAUGUUAUUUUCGUAAGUUAUACAAAAUAACUCAAAUUAUAUUUUGAAAAAAAAAAAACUACUCAAACAGAAAACAAAACAUUAAAACGCGUAAGAUCUGGUCAAUGUGGUCACUAGUCAUGGAGGAUGGGUCACCUAAUCAAUCUUUUUCUCUCUAAAAAAAGAUGUUAAACAAUAAUUUUCUCACAAUUUCCUCGAACAAGAUGAAGAAGAAACACAUUAGACAACUCAUUAAUAAAAAAUGUCAAAAUCUCAAAAAACUAAGAAACCAAUCAAAUUCGUCCAUUUUUUUUCCCUCUUUUGCUUUUUUUUUCUUUCUUCUUUCUUCUUUCUCCUCGUCACUCUUCAGAUUCCGGGAAUAAAGAGAGAAAAGUUUCAAUCUUUUUGUUAGCCGGAGAUGGUUACGCCGAACUGGGAACUCCGAGGUUGCUGUAACCGGAAUCAGAAUACUUUCCUCAUCACCAUCGGAAUCUUCACCGUCGUUAUCCUCUUGGUCAGUUUUAAUAAAGUUUGAAACUUUAUAUGUUUUCUUCGAUUCAAUUGAAGAUCCGAAGAGGUUUUUGUAGAUUCUAGCCAAAAGGGUUUCUGAUUUUAGUGUUUAUGCAACUAUUGACCUAUAAAUUUCAUUCAAAUUUUGUGAUUUUUGGUGUCAUAUGUGUUGAGAUGUUUACAGAGGUUUCUUGUGUGGGGUUUUGGUUUUUACAGCUAUGGAGGACAUUUCUAUUGACUCCAUUUAAACUUAUUACGGUGUUUUUGCACGAAGCGAGUCAUGCUGUUGCUUGCAAGCUUACUUGUGGAGAUGUAAGGAGCUCUCUUACUUACAACUACUAUUCUUCAAUAAAAAUAUAAAGGGUACAAGUUUGAUUAUAGGUGUCAACUAAAGUAUUGAACCCUUGAUUCAGUUUGCAAAAUGUUGCUUUGCAAAAGGCAUAGAAGAUAUUAUGGUUUCCUAAGAUAGAAAGGUUAUUGCUUUAGCGAUGAUGUCUCUGUGUUCUCUCUGGACAUGGCUGUUUAUCACAGGCUGUCAUGUCAUUUUAUGUUUUUCUCAUUUGGUUAAUAGAACACAGUUUUAUCCUUGCUUCAUAAGAUUUGUAUAUGAUUCUCCCUUGCUUCCAUUGUUUAUGUGUUUGUAAACUAGUAGCUUCUGUCAGUAGUCUAAGAAGCCACGACAUACAGUGAGUCUACUUGAAGAAAUCCAGCUGCUUAAGCAUUUGGUGUAAGUCUGAUAUAUCUAGCUUUGGAAUCAAUGUAACAGAUUUAGGUGUUGUGAGUUGGUUAGUGAGGGCUGGAUUUAUAAAGAUGCCCCUGCAGAUUGUUUAGGGUGUAGAUUUAUAGGAUUUGAUUGGCAUUUCGGUUUAGUAAUUCUCUAAUAACCAGGAGUGUACAGCUUCAGCUCUUACUAUAGUUCUGAUGUGAUGAAAUCCACAAACUUUUCUUUCCAAAUACUGCUUCUAUGAAUAUGCAAGUUUUACACCCCUGAACAAAACUUUUAUCUUUGGAAAGUCUAGGUAUAGAUUACUGAGAAUACCAUCAAAUUUAUGAACCAUCUCUUUGUAAAAAUCUGCAUCUCACAGUCGUAUAUAAUGUGGAUAAUGCUUAUCUUUUAACGUAUGUCCCUCAUUUUGGUUACUCAUUUCCUUAAUGAAUCUAAAGGUGGAGGGUAUGGAGGUGAAUGCAAAUGAAGGGGGUUCGACAACAACACGUGGUGGCAUUUACUGGCUGAUCUUACCUGCUGGCUGUAAGGCCCAAUCUAUCUUUAUCCCUUAACCAAUUUUUUCGAAUUUAGACACUCCUUUGUUGAUGGAUUAUAGGUGAAAGGGCUAAAAAGUGUUACCCUUUUUUGUUGUUUGAAUUGGUUAUAGAUCUCGGGUCAUCAUUUUGGGGAAUGGCUUUGAUUCUUGCAUCUACCAAUCUGCUUACAGCAAGAAUAGCUGCUGCUGGUUUGGGUCUUGCUUUAUUCAUCGUCCUCUUCAUUGCCAAAAACGUAAGAAGUUACUAUUUCGCUUAUUUACAGAGUCUUAUUUCCUUAAAAGUCAUCAACAUUAAACAUUGACAUCUUCAAUUUUGACAGUGGACGCUUCGAGGUCUUUGUAUAGGUGUGUUAUCUUAUCUCGCGCGUCCUGUAAUUGCAUUUUCUUUCUAAGUACCCAAAAUGCUUAUAUAGCUGUAAUAUUCCCAGGUUUCAUAGUUUUCCUCGCUAUCAUAUGGGUUCUACAAGAGCUAACUACAGUCAAAAUUCUCCGUUAUGUCAUUCUAUUCAUUGGUGAGAUACUAUAAAACUCUUGUCUCUUCUCUUGUCUCUCUUGUUAACAUCAUUUAAUUUCGUUUAGCCUAUACUAAAGCUGGAAUUACAAUAUUGCAGGUGUGAUGAAUAGCUUAUUCUCAGUUUAUGGUAUGUAAAUUCUUAUCUCCCAUUUCCUUAAAGUUAUGACUUAUGGACCAAUAAUAAUAUGGCUGCAAUGCACAAAUAUUAGAUAUCUAUGAUGACCUGAUAUCUCGGAGGGUCCAUUCGAGCGAUGCUGAGAAGUUUGCAGAGAUCUGUCCUUGCUGUACUGGUUGUGGCUGGGGUGUCAUCUGGUUAGAACUAUAAUCCAACUCUCAGUAUUCACAUUCUGAAAAUGAAAAUGAAAAACCGUUUUUUUCUAACAAACUGUUUUCGUUUCAGGGGAAUGAUAUCUUUUGCAUUUCUUUGCGCAUCGCUCUAUCUUGGCCUAGUGAUCUUAUCGUAAAACCGUCAUUCUUUGAUGAAUCUGUUGGUGUCUCUCAGGUUCAGAUUCUUCUUAGUGAAAUGCAGAGACAAUAGAUUGAUGAUGACAAAAACAAAAGAAAACUUGAUUCUUUAUUAGAUCCCUUGGUGUGUUGGGGGAUUUACAUUUGAUUGAAACCAUAGGGUUUAUUUGAGAGUUUGUAAUGUAAAAUUCAUAGGAAAAAUAUUGAUUUGGUCUCUGUUUAUUGUAUUGAAAAGUUCGUUGACUUCUUCAACAGAAUAGAAAAAAAAGGUCCAUUGACUUUUUAGAUGAGCUAUUCAUUCUUGAACGUUGAAAUUGUUAAAAGCUUGAAUAUAUAAGACAUCUUGAUAUCAUCGUCUACAAGGUUUGGUCAUAUGGUUUUCGUGUAAGAAAAAUAGAAUGUUUCUGAAGAUAAUUGUCGGAAUUAAAAAUUUGAAUUGAUAAACAUCAAGUUUCCUAAGUAAGCUAUAUAGAGAAAUCAAAGAAAAAGUCUUUCAACUUUGGUCUACACGAAACGAAUUUGUUAAACCAAAAACGUUUGGUCUUGAGUGGUUUCUAGUUUCCCAUUUAUUUGAUAUCCCAAAAAAAUAAAGAAAAACCAUUGACUAACACGGUUUGAAAUUGACCAAAUUUGAAGAAUUCUUGUAAUCCCAAUGAACAACAACAACCUAUCCACAAAAAUUGGUGCUUACAAAGUUUUUUUGGUGGUUCAUAUCAAGUUAGUCUUCUCUUUUUGGUUGAAAUGUAAAUCCCAAAAAUAACAAAAAAAAUUGUAUAUAUAUUUUUGUUAUUAUUAAAAAUUGUUAGUAACGUGGCCUAACUAAUCCCAAAAACUAGUUCAAGUGAAGAAAAAUUGUCACAUCUUAUAUAUAUUAUCCAAAGAUUUUAAUCCCAUAGGAUGUGAGAUUUUGGGACUCUAAUAGAAAUGCACGAUAUUUUUUUCCUCGGUUGUUCCACACGUUACUAUUGAGAGCCAGAUUUUUUGAACUUUUUUCAAGAAUCAUUACUAUUCUAUCGAGAUGUAACUAAUUUGACCCUAAAGAAUAUACGUUUUUAUGUGUAGAUGAUGCUCUUCUCCAUAAUAUAUGUUGGAGAUAUGCCAUAAUACGUUGACAACAUUAGGCAAAAAGAACCGGGUUCGAUAAGUUGAGGAAUACCAAACCGAACACCAACGACCAACUUGGAGUCGUACGUACGUGGUCCAAAAAGAAAAAAAAAGAAACUCAAUAAGAUACAAAAGAAGAAGAAGAAGACGUAAAGCUCAGAUUUGGAGCAUAACGAACUCCACGUCACGGCCAACCUUUUCUUCCCAUACCAUUGACGACGUCUUCCAACAGUAACCCUUCAUUCUCUAUACCAUUCUACUCCACCCUCACAUUCUCUUUUUUGUUUUCUUCUUCUUCUUCAUCUUCUUCUUCUUAUGAGUUUCCUUUAUUUUGUUUUGUGCAACAAAAAAUGAAUGGCUCGUGAGUUUUUUGGCAUAGAAGUAAUCACGUAUGGUGAUGUGAUGUCAUGCAUGAGAUAUAUAGUUGCAACUUGUAGAUAUAUGGACAAGUUUGUGUAAAGAAAACUUGCAUCCACGAUAUUUAAAGUAUUAUGCAUGUUGUAGAAUUGAACACGUGGUUUAAAAAUGUCUUGGAUAACCACGUUUGCAUAAAAUUUAUUUGGGUUUUAGAUUUCCUUAUAUAGCAACUAAUCCACGUAAAUUCUUGGAUUGCUAUGUGAUAGCAAAAAUUGAAAAAGAUAAUAAUGUUGACUUGUAAAUAAAGUAAGAAAAAUCAGUUCUGUCAUUUCAGAAGAGAAAGUAUGUCACAUGUAAAAUGGAUUCAUUGAUACUUUUCAUGAGAACUUCCCACAAGGAAGCCAUUGACCUUACCUUUCUCUAUAUCCAGCUAGAACAAAUUUUUAUUUUGUUUUAUUUAUGAAGUCACAAGAACUUUACGUAUAAUAGUUGGGGCUACAUCUUAAAGAGUAUUUAAUUAUUUUAUAUUAUGCUUGGAAUAUUCAUAAUUUAAAAUAUAUAUGGUAAAGUAUCAACCUAGGCUAAAAAGAUUUGAAUAAAAAAGAUUUAACUGUUUUCGAUUUUAUCACAAAUUCAUGUACAAGAAAACUUCUAGAAAAAUCAAAACAAUUAUCCAGUUCCGAAUUGGCAAUGCACUAAUUAACACAAUUUUAGAUGACAUAUAAUUAGAAAAUAAUAUUUUUGAUAACGUUAUGUACAAAAUAUAUACAUAUUUCUUUCAUAUUAAAAAAAUAUAGAUUGAUGAAAACAGAAGGAUAUGGAUUAUAACAAAGGUUUUUAAUUUUAAAUAGAAAUUUUAAAAUCAUCAAAAAUUAGGUAAAUCUCAUUAUAAAUCCAUAAUUUAAAAUUUGCCGAAAAAUUAAUACUUUUACAAAUUCAAUAAAAUAUCUUAAUUAAUAAUAAAAAGUUUUAUCGAUAUAUUAUUAGUUUAUACGCGUUUUUUUGUUGUUGUACGUGGGUAUAAAAAAUAUGUAAAAUCAGUUUCUGUGUGAUUUGUAGGAUUAUUCAAUAGUCAACAACUUUUUUAAUUUGUUUGAGUAGCAUUAGCAAUUCUUAAGAGGAACUCUUUUUAAAAUUGUUUAAACUUUAAACAAUAGCCAUUAGAUGAAGCCGAGAAUCAUUAGUAUUCCAAGCGAAAACACAUUUAAUUUACAAAUAUGUAAUGUUCUCAACGCAAAGAUGUUUUGGUAGGAGGAAGCAUGAUGUCUCUUUCAAGAAAUGGUGUCUAAUCCAAUAUGAAACUAUUCUCUCUUAGUCUAGAUUUGAAGUCUUUUGUGAGACACAAGCAACUAAAAAAAUAUAGUUGUGAUUACAGUAGCAACCAUGUGACAUAUAAUUUAUGAAAUAAAUCUAUUCCAUAAAAAAAAUAUAAACUAGUUUACAUUCAUAUUGUACAUUUUGAUUCAUUCCAUAUAUUUAAUGUUCAAUUAAUAUAUGAUAAGAAAAAAAAUACAAUAUGGCAAGUUUGAGAAUUAUAAUUCUUACCAUAUUUUUUCUUGAUUCUCAAGUUCUAUAUUUCCAAACCAAACACGCAAAUUCCUAUAUUAAUCACAAAAUUAAAAAAAAACAGUUCUCAAAUUAUCUUCCAAAAAUGGUCUUUACCUCUAUUUUGAGCAUUUUCAGAUUUCUCCUCCACGUCUACUUGAUGGUCAUGGAUUGGUUUCAAAGACGAUGCGUUCUCUUCUUGUUCACACGUAAGUACUCUUAUUUUUUUUUGGUGCAAUCAUUCACACGUAAUUAUAUUGUAUAUACAAAAUUUCAUAUAAUAAUAAAAUUCAAGAAAUUCUCGUGAAUCUAUUACAAAAGAAAAGAAAAAAUCACUUAAUUAAUAAUGCAUAUCUUAAUUUCUACAUAAAGAAACACAUAUUUACACACUUGCUUGUGUAUUAAUAUUCUUAUUUCCAUAUUUAUAUGAUUUUGAGUAUUAUUUUUUAACCCUCUUACAAGAAAUACAAAAUCAUUUCUAUUAUAUAUAGUAGAGAAGGGUUACAAGAAAAGCCCAUCAUCGGUCUUUAUACUAUUAUCUGUAUAUUCCUCUCUGAAUUCAUAAAAUGGGUGCAGACGCAAACGCAAUACAAACGAACGGUCACGAUCAAGGCAAGUUAACCGGCGGUGAAGAGAUCCAACGGCUGAGAUGUUUCGUCAAGAACUACGAAUGGGGCAAACUCGGACCGGACUCAUUGGUCGCGAGACUCCAAGAAGCGAAUUCUGGAAGACGAGUCGACUCAGCGGUUCCUCACGCCGAGUUUUGGAUGGGUACUCAUGAGUCUGGACCGAGUCAUGUUGGAUUCGGGUCCGGGUCUGAUAAAUGCAUGGUUACAUUGAAAUCGUGGGUUUUGGAUCAUCCGGAUUCACUCGGGUCUAGAGUCGUGGACAAGUGGGGUUACGAUCUCCCUUUCCUCUUCAAGGUACCAAUUCCUCUGUUUUUUUUCAUUGCUCUGUUUUUGUAAAGAUGUUACAUUUGACUCUGUUUCUUUUCUUCAAAAAAAUUGGAUUUUUCUACAGUUAUAACUUGUAAAGUUUUGAGUUUUAUAUAUAUAUAUAUAUAUAUAUAACAAUACNNNNNNNNNNNNNNNNNNNNNNNNNNNNNNNNNNNNNNNNNNNNNNNNNNNNNNNNNNNNNNNNNNNNNNNNNNNNNNNNNNNNNNNNNNNNNNNNNNNNAUUGGAUUUUACAGAUUCUAUCUUAUGGUCAAUUUCUCUGUUUUCUUUGCUCUGUUUUGAUGAUGAUGAUACAUUUUGUGAUUUUGACUCUGUUUAUAUUAUUAAAAGUUUGGGCUUUUCUUGUUUCUUUACUUAAAGCAUACAGAUUUGUAUCUAAAAGUGUUUGAAAUGUGAAAUUUUGUUUAGGUAUUGUCAGUGACGAAAGCAUUAUCGAUUCAGGCACAUCCUAAUAAGUCAUUAGCAGAGAAAUUGCAUAGAGAAGAGCCUCUACUAUACAGAGAUUCUAACCACAAGCCUGAGAUUGCUCUCGCAGUCACUCCUUUCCAAGCCCUUUGUGGUUUUGUAUCUCUUAAGGUACUUUACACAUUUCAGAUCUCUCUCUCUCUCUCUCAUUCUCUGCAAAAAAACAUUUGUGUCAGUCUGUGGUUGAGAUCAACAAUAAAGUUUUCCCUAGAUCCGGUUUGGUUUAAAGAAACUGUAUCGUACCAAUUUCCUGGUUUGAUUUGGUAUGGUUCACAUUUGAGUUACAUAAAGUUGAUUCUGAUUUGGUUCUGCCAAAGCUAAAUUGAACCGGUUCUGUACCUUAUGUUGAAUCAGGAGCUGAAGGAGGUUAUAGCCAAUGUACCAGAGAUUACAGAGCUUGUAGGAAGCAAAGCUGCAGGUCAAAUCUUCAAAGUCCAUGAACACGAUGACGAAGAAAGAAUCAAAUCCGUUGUUCGAUUGAUCUUCACGCAGUUGAUGUCUGCAAAAAGCAGCAAGACAAAGCAAGUGAUAUCUCGUAUGAAGAUUCGUCUGAUCUCUGAGACUAAACACCGUGAACUGUCGGAUAAAGAGAAGUUAGUUUUGGAACUGGAGAAACAGUACACUGGUGACAUUGGUGUGAUCUCAGCCUUCUUCUUUAACUAUGUCAAGCUUAAUCCUGGAGAGGCUUUGUAUCUGGACGCGAACGAGCCACACGCUUAUAUCUCUGGCGACUGUAUCGAGUGUAUGGCGGCUUCAGACAACGUUGUUAGAGCUGGUCUUACUCCUAAACACCGCGAUGUUCAAACCCUUUGCUCUAUGCUUACCUAUAAACUGGUAACUUUCUUUACACGUUAACCUUUUCAUAACUUUCUUUACACGUUAACCGUUUGGUUUUGUUAGUAAACCAAAUACGAGAUUGUUUUGGUUUAUCGAUUAACCGGUAUAUCGGAUUUUUUUCAGGGGUACCCGGAGAUUUUGAAAGGAUUCCCUCUGACUCCUUACGUUACUAGGUAUCUACCACCAUUUGAUGAGUUUGAAGUUGAUCACUGUGAACUUCCUCUAGGAAGAUCUACGGUUUUACCGGCAGUACCGGGUCCUUCGGUUUAUCUGGUUAUUGAAGGAGAAGGGAAAUUACAAACCGGUUCUACUCAAUUGUUGGUUAACCAAGGAGAUGUUUUGUUUGUUCCAGCUCAUAACGAGAUUCACAUAACCGGAGAAAGUGAUGUAAUGAAGCUUUACAGAGCUGGAGUCAGCAGCAGAUUCUUCCAAACGUUAUAGGGCUAAACAAAUAUUUAAGCACAUUAACUAUACUAAUUACUAUAUUACAUAUAUAUAAGCAAAUCAUAGAGACCAAAAUCUUUAAAUUGGUAGAAACUGUGGUUUAAUGUGUAAUCCCCUCCAAUGGCCUGUUGCAAAUUAAAAGCUCAAGGGGUUUAUUUUCUUAUAUUUACUUUAUUUUAUUGGAAUUUUUGUUUGUGCAAUAUUUGUUAAACAAAAUAUAUGUAAAAUGAUUGUAAAAGAUUUAUCCCAAUUUUAAAAGUAUUUCAUUUUCUCACCAACAUAUUGGGGGUUGUUACUCUCAAACUAUAAUGAAUCAAGAAGUCAAGGCAAUUAAAUGAUAGAGUUUAUGGUAAUUCAAUGUAAUAUGAGAAACUUUUAUGAAUUUCCAUUUAAAAAUCAGUUGACAAUUAUGGGUUGUUCUAAAUUUCUUAAAUAUGUUUAAAUUAUAUCGUACUUUUGAAGUAAUAAUGUACAAUCUCACAAUAGUCAACUAAGAAUUUAUCUUUACAUAUUUCAUUUUGAGAUAGAUAAGAAAUUUGCAAUUUUUUUUCCUUUACAAAAAAUGUAAAUAUCUUUCCAAGAAAUUAAAGUUUAGCAAACAUUUGUAGUCUUGAAAUCUUAUUCAAAAGUGAAUUUGUAUAGUUUUACUAAAAAUAGAAUCAAGAUAUCGAUUUUAUCAUAUUGUAGUUUGGUACGAUAUAUAAUAUAGGAGCAUCGUUAUUGCAAACCUCUUAGACUUGAAAAAGGUAUAUUAGCACAAUGUUUGGUAUCUUAUGCUCUAAGAGCCUUGAAGUUAAACGAUGAAGCUUCUUUAAUGGAGUAAAAUGGAGUAUAUAUAUCUUCUUCACAGUAAAUGCAGUGGUGAUGAUGGCUUUCUAACGACUAUUAAAUACACUCCAUGAAGACUCAUCCCAUAUUAUAACUUAUGUUGCAAUCAAUCAAACCCUGUUAUGGCAAAACGUGGAAACGUUACGAUCCUGAUCCUCUAUGAAACAUCCUCACAUCAGACUUUAGAGCCUCAAACACUUUCAUCUAGUACUCUUUGGCUCUGCCCUUUAGAACCAAACCUCCCACGAAUCCCUCAGUAACCAAAUCAAAUGCAUACCCAACAAUCCCAAAUCUGGGGGGAACCAAAGGUGGCACUUUGUGCACGUACGUUGGACUUAUUAUAUGCGACAAUGAUGGUCCACACUCUUAAGUCAAACAAAAUUAGGUAAACCCGUGUCUCAAAGCACUUGAUCUGCUGAUGAGGACAUGACUCACCCACUCAACUCAACUUUUAAGAACUCGACUGGUAAUACCGUACUAGUGUUUUCACAUCAAAUCUUGUACUUAAUGUUAACAUUUGAAAAACUUGGUGAACUUAAAUCUUUAGUUUAGUAGUAUAUGUGAAGAGGAGGAGGUUUCCGAGUUGCAAAAUUCUGCAAAAACUCUCAAGAUGUAAACUUACUGCAAGAUUAUAUAAAACCAUCAUUCCAAAUCUUGUUUGGUCUCAUUGAUUCUGUCAACAACUUACUUCAUUACAAACUAGUUUAUGUUUAAUUUUGAUCCGAGACAAGCGUACAAUGAAAACCAUCAUUCCAAAUCUUUAUAAGCAAGUUAAAGAAAGUCGAUGAGAGACCAAGAUCGCAGGUUUACUUGCACUGGUUGUUGGUUAAAGCUUUGGUUACACAAUGCGAAACGAUUCCAACCGGGCAGAAGAGAAGGCAAAGCGAAACAGAAUGCCUCGUUUCGAUCUGGUUCAGUAAACCAUCAUUAUAAACUUGCCUACAAGAGAAAACCCAAAACACGCGUUAUAAGAAACAUGUUCGGAUAAAUUCAGAACCCGGUGAGAAGAAGAAGAAGCCCGGAUAUAUAUACCUGGCAGCGAAAAGAUCGACAACAAGAAGAUGAAUCCACGCAGAGGCAAGAGUCAUUUCACUUGAGAACAUUUUUGCUAUCCCCGACAACUGCAGAUGAAAUUAAACUUUAGAAAUUGCAAUGAUACAUUAUCAUAGAAAAACUAUACGCUUGUUUUCGAAUGUUUCAGGGAAGCAAAGUACCUCUGGCAACAUGUAUUUACUAGAAAACAUGUACUUGAGUGUCUCGGGUGUCCAAGAAAGGUAUAACAAAUACGCGUAUAACACGCCUAAGACGAUAUACGGUAAGCUACUCUCCAUACACUUCUUGGUCUGCACAAAGAAACAUAUAUACUCAAUUUAGAUCCAAAUUCUUUGAGUCUGCACGAUAAAUUGCAAAACUUGAAAGAAAAUAUAAUCUUACAAUCUCAGCUUUUGGAGCUACAACCAUAAGAGUGUAAAAGGGAAGAACUGCGGUUGUUCCAACUGCAAACACACUACUUGCAAUCUGAGAUGUAGCCAACACUGCAACAUAAACAUAUCAGAGAUCAAAACCACAAAAAUGAGUGACAAAGUUUCAAGCUUUAAGUUCAAUGAAAGUGCAGAGAGAGACACAUUACAUGAAGCUUGUACGCCAAAGACUUUCUUGUAAACUACAGAGCAAGAAUUCGAUGAAACAUUGGGGUGAAGAGAGAUUCUUGAUCCUCCAACGAAGCUCCAAGGAUUAUCUAAUCUAAUUCUUGAAGAAUCAAGAAAAAGAUCCGAUCUUUUAACAGUAAUGUUGCGUUUCAUCAUCUGAAAUCAACCAAAAAAGAAUGAACUUUUUUUACUUCAUCUCUUAAAAAUUCAGAAACUUUCAUAUAGAAACAGAGUUUCUCUGAAACAGGUGACCCACGGAGAAGUCAAUUCAAUGAUAUAUAAAAAAAAACAUCAGGGUCAAUUCAAAACCCAUUAAAUUCUCCAAAUUGAGUCAAAAGGUAAAGACUUUAAGGUUAUCUAUAACUAUAGUAAGAACCUCAACACAGAAUCUAAACCGACAAAAGAUCCACAAACACUAAAGUAUAAGUGAGAUUUGGAGAUAAAAGAAGAGUACCGAGAGAGAUGAAGAAGAGAAAGGCUGAGAAAUGAGAGAAGUAAAAACCAUCUUUGAUUCAAAACUUCAAUACCCUUUGCCAAAACCUGAUCCUUCAUUACCUAACUUAACCAAACUCUCUCCAUAUAUAGAUGGAACACUGAGUAAUGAUGGUUUGAGAGGUGUUGUUUCCACUGAAUACGGAAGUGGAAGGGUGAAAGAAAAAAGUUGUCUUUCACUCUUUCUUCCUCAGUGUGUCCACAAUUAUAUGCAACACGUUUUUUAUUUGCUCAUACAGUCCUCCUCUUUAUAAAUUUUUCAUCUUUUACUAUCACUUUUCCUUUUUAAUAUAAUUUAGACAUUUUUUUUUGACAUCGUAUAAUUUACACUUAUUUUUUUUAGUAUAAAAGUUAACAAUUCCUUUCGAUUUCAUUUUAAAGUUUUAAACUACAUUUUUUUUUAAUAUUGGUUUACUUCAAUGAAAGAUAUCAUUUAGUACUUUAGUAUAUAAGUAUAUUUAACAGAUAAUAUUUUUUAGUGAAUCAUCGUUAUAUAUUGAGAAUUCAACAUGUUGAUCAAAAAAAAUUUAUAUGCAUUGGCUUUGAUUGGUAACACAAUUAAAAGUGGUUGGAGAUUCAAUCAUUCGUUAACUUAGUUACUAAUUAGAUGAACCAUCGAAAUAGACGUAUGAAACGAAUAGUAGAAGAUAUGGUUAAAAAGAUGGUAAAAACUCAAAUGAGCCGGUUGCCAACCGCGUCGUUUAUAUGAUGUUGCCAAUAUGAGCCAUUAUGUGAAAGGGAGAUGGAAGUGAAAGUGAAUUUAGGUGGACAAGAGACAAGUCUAGUUUCAGAAAAAGACAAAGGUUGGUGUUGCUCCCAUUAAUUUUGUUAAACAAGAAAUAAGAUAGAGAUGUGGUUAAUGGCUAAUAAUCUAAAUAUAUAACUCACUGCUUGAGAAAGUGGAUGAAGUAAGAUAACUUGGGUGGGCUAUUUGGUAUAUAACUUAAAAUUUAAUUAAUGGGCCUUUUGAUCCACCCAUUUUGUUUUUCUUUUCUUUUCUUUUGUAACUCCCACUUACACUGUUCAGUCAACAAAUAAAAACAAAUUUGUGGCAUCUUUCAAUCUUGUUGUGGGAUUUUCGCAUUUCGAUGUAUUCGAUGGCGACCAAAACUAAGAUUAAAUGGUAAAAGAUUUUUUCCUUAAUUUAUAAAAAUGUUUUUGAUUAUAUUUUCUGAUUUGAAAACUUUUACUAUAUCUAUAAACUUCAAAAACCGCAAAUUCUUACAAGCCUCAUAUAUCUUAUCCUAUUCCGACAAGUACCUAAACAACAUUACUACAAAUUAUACAUUUCACACUAUAGAGUUCAAAUAUGUGAACUUGGGCCAAGUCAUUUGAUUGAGGAAAUAUAUAAUAUGAUCCACAAGAUCCUUGAAUAUACUCUUUUAAGUGAAAAAUGAAUAUUCGAGACCUCUUAUCAAGAAUCCUAUCCUAAAGAAAGCACAUCCACUUAUGUUUCCAUCACUAGAUUUCAAGUGGGUCAUCAUCAUCUUUUACUUCAAGAUAUUGUUUAGCCUAAACCUCUCAAACCUCCUUAAUCGUGUGAUCUAAUCUAUCUUAUGUGUUUCUUCAACUUGUAAAUUUUCAUGUUUUUUUUGAGUCACAUUGUCCUAUUAUUUUCUUUAAUGUUCAUAUGCAAUUCAAAUUCAAGAGAUAUUAUAGAACAUUACAUAUUUAUUUCAUCAGAUAGUUGAGAAUCCGAUAGAAAAUGUCUCGCAAACCGGAAAACAAACGUUAAAUCCGGAAAUUAAAACUUUAGAUAAAAAUUAAAAAGAAAAAAAGGAAAAAGCAGAAAUUGAUAUAAAAUCAAAGGUGGAGGAGGGGAUGAGAUAAAGUUUUUGAUAUGUUUUACAAGAAACAAAGCAAAGCAAAGAGAGAGAUUAAGCAUCGGUGAAGCGAGGGGGCUUGUAGGCAAUGAAACUGAUGCACUGCACUUGACGGGUGUUGUCGAAUCCGAUGAUCCUGAUGAAGGCUUCAGGGUACUCCUUCUUGCACUCGUUAACUUCCUUCAACACUUGUGCUGAGUCAGUGCAUCCGAACAAGGGUAGCUUCCACAUUGUCCAGUACCUUCCAUCGUAGUAUCCGGGGGUGUUACCGUGCUCACGGUGCACAAACCCGUUCUAUAAUACAAAAAAACCAAACCACACAUGUUACGACCACAACAACAACAACAACAACAAAAGUCCAAGAUCUAAGCUAGUUUAUGUUUUUUGUUACCUCCAACUCGAAUUCGACACAGGGAAUCCACUUGUUGCGGAGAAGGUAGUCAACUUCCUUUCCCAACUCGACCUCGGAAAGGUCAGGAAGGUAAGAGAGAGUCUCGAACUUCUUCUUUCCGAUCGGAGGCCACACCUUUGAGAUUCAGACAAAACAACAUAUGAGUUCAUGUAAUUCGAAUGAAAAAAAGUUCUUUGAAAGAAGAAGAAAGAAGAAGAAGAAAAAAGAUGUAUGACCUUCAUGCAGCUAACUCUUCCGCCGUUGCUUGUGAUGGAAGUAAUGUCGUUGUUGGCCUUGCGGGUGGAAGGGAAAGCAGCGGAGGACUUAAGUCCGGUGAAAGGAGCGACCAUAGUGGCCUGAGCCGGGGAGGCAACCAUAGUAGCGGAAGAGAGCAUAGAGGAAGCCAUUGUGUUCUUUCUCUUUUACUCUUUUGUGUGACUGAGGUUCUGUCUAGUGCUUUGGUCAUCUAUAUAUAAUGAUAAUAACAAUGAUAACAAUCACUUGAGUGAUCGUAGGGUCGAGGAAUCAUGAGGCUUGAGUGGGAAAGGAUUUAGACCGUUGGAUGAUGAGUGUGUGGAUAUGUGUGUGUGUGUGAGGUUUUAAGUCACUUGGUAACGGCCACAGAAGCCUAAGGUAAGGUCCUGAGAGACCCUUAUCGGUUUGUAACGCUAGAACAGUG